rnacentral:tRNA from 1 species
GCCUCUAUGGCAUAGUUGAAUGUGCAUUCGGCUGCUGGGCAAAGGUUGCUGGUUCAAGUCCAGCUGGGGACA